GCAGUGGGUGAUAUUCCGUGGAAAAGACGGAAGGCCUGGGUGUGUUCAGAACACAUGUGCUCACAGGGCUUGCCCGCUGCAUCUUGGUUCAGUGAACGAGGGUAGGAUCCAGUGCCCUUACCAUGGUUGGGAGUACUCUACUGAUGGGAAAUGUGAAAAAAUGCCAUCAACAAAGAUGCUCAACGUGCGCAUCCAGUCAUUGCCAUGCUUUGAGCAGGAAGGAAUG